GGGGGAUUGCUUGAGCCCAGGAGUUGAAGGCUGCAGUGAGUUAUGAUGAUGCCACUGCACUCCAGCCUGAGUGACAGAGUGAGACCCUGUCUC
rnacentral:miRNA from 1 species